CCUACGGGGGGCAGCAGUGGGGAAUAUUGCACAAUGGGGGAAACCCUGAUGCAGCAACGCCGCGUGAGCGAUGAAGGCCUUCGGGUCGUAAAGCUCUGUCCUAAGGGAAGAAUACUGACGGUACCUUAGGAGGAAGCCCCGGCUAACUACGUGCCAGCAGCCGCGGUAAUACGUAGAGGGCUAGCGUUAUCCGGAAUUACUGGGCGUGAAGGGUGCGUAGGCGGCCCUCCAAGUCAAAGGUGAAAGGCUACGGCUAAACCGGAGUAAGCCUUUGAAACCGUAGGGCUUGAUAGUAGGAGAGGCGGGUGGAACUCCCAGUGGAGCGGCGAAAUGCGUAGAGAUCAGGAGGAACACCAGUUGCGAAGGCGGCUCUCUGGACUGUAACUGGCGCAGAGGCACGAAAGCGUAGGGAGCGAACAGGAUUAGAUACCCGAGUAGUC
rnacentral:rRNA from 1 species